GUCACGUAGUUACCCAAAGUUCCCGCUACAGAACAUUCCAUAACCUGAUUGUUGUCUACAAGUAGCAAGAGUGUCUUCAACAAGUUAAAUGUAAAAUAUACUCACUGUACCAGUCACGUGGUCACACAAAGUUCCGGCUACAGAAUAUUCCACAACCUGAUCGUUGUCUACAAGUAGGAAGUGUGUCUUCAACAACUUAAAUGUGAAAUAUACUCACUGUACCAGUCACUUGGUCACACAAAGUUCCGGCUACAGAAUAUUCUACAACCUGAUCGUUGUCUACAAGUAGGAAGUGUGUCUUCAACAACUUAAAUGUGAAAUAUACUCACUGUACCAGUCACUUGGUCACACAAAGUUCCGGCUACAGAAUAUUCCACAACCUGAUCGUUGUCUACAAGUAGGAAGUGUGUCUUCAACAACUUAAAUGUGAAAUAUACUCACUGUACCAGUCACGUGGUCACACAGAGUUCCGGCUACAGA